rnacentral:rRNA from 1 species
UGGGGAAUUUUGGACAAUGGGCGCAAGCCUGAUCCAGCCAUGCCGCGUGCAGGAUGAAGGCCUUCGGGUUGUAAACUGCUUUUGUACGGAACGAAAAGACUCCUUCUAAUAAAGGGGGCCCAUGACGGUACCGUAAGAAUAAGCACCGGCUAACUACGUGCCAGCAGCCGCGGUAAUACGUAGGGUGCAAGCGUUAAUCGGAAUUACUGGGCGUAAAGCGUGCGCAGGCGGUUAUGCAAGACAGAGGUGAAAUCCCCGGGCUCAACCUGGGAACUGCCUUUGUGACUGCAUAGCUAGAGUACGGUAGAGGGGGAUGGAAUUCCGCGUGUAGCAGUGAAGUGCGUAGCUAUGCGGAGGAACACCGAUAGCGAAGGCAAUCCCCUGGACCUGUAAUGACGAUCAUGCACGAAAGCGUGGGGAGCAAACA